rnacentral:rRNA from 1 species
AUGGCCGUUCUUAGUUCGUGAAGUGAUUCGUUCGCCCAAUCGCAUUUCCAAACAACAAACAACUCAGAAUGCUGGGCAAUAGGACGUUUAAAGUGGCUCCUUACACCUUACAAAGGAAUGGCUGAUGAGAAACAACUCGAUCCGCUCAGCGUUCUAUUGGAAUGCAACGGACGUGAUUGCAAGCUUUUGUUUUGAGUUGCGGUUUUACUGAAAGACUCUACAAUCCGCAAACUUC